rnacentral:ncRNA from 1 species
CGAUUUUGGUUUACAAUAUUGUAAUUAAAAGGGAAUUAGGUGAGAAUCCUAAACAGUCCCGCUGCUGUAAGUUAGUUGUCGUAUAAUCGACAAUCCUGUAAUGCGGUCAUUGCACUAUAUCUGAAUUGGUGUGAGAAGGCCGUAUUUUGUUGCCAAACACAGUUCUAACGAGUCAGAAUACCUGCCAAGUCAAGA